rnacentral:rRNA from 1 species
CAGUAGCCGCGGGAAUACGAAGGGUGCAAGCGUUACUCGGAAUUACUGGGCGUAAAGCGUGCGUAGGCGGUGAGUUAAGUCUGCUGUGAAAUCCCCGGGCUCAACCUGGGAAUGGCAGUGGAUACUGGCUCGCUAGAGUGUGUCAGAGGAUGGUGGAAUUCCCGGUGUAGCGGUGAAAUGCGUAGAGAUCGGGAGGAACAUCUGUGGCGAAGGCGACUAUCUGGGCCAACACUGACACUGAGGCACGAAAGCGUGGGGAGCAAACAGGAUUAGAUACCCCCGUAGUCCCUGUCUCUUAUAA